rnacentral:rRNA from 1 species
UACAGAGGUCCCAAGCGUUUGUUCGGAUUCACUGGGCGUAAAGGGUGCGUAGGUGGUGGGGUAAGUCGGAUGUGAAAUCUCCGAGCUCAACUCGGAAACUGCAUUGGAAACUACCCUGCUAGAGGGUCGGAAGAGGCGAGUGGAAUUCCCGGUGUAGCGGUGAAAUGCGCAGAUAUCGGGAGGAACACCAAUUGCGAAGGCAGCUCGCUGGGACGUCACUGACGCUGAGACGCGAAAGCGUGGGGAGCAAACAGG